rnacentral:rRNA from 1 species
GAUGAACGCUGGCGGCGUGCCUAAUACAUGCAAGUCGAGCGAACAGACGAGGAGCUUGCUCCUCUGACGUUAGCGGCGGACGGGUGAGUAACACGUGGAUAACCUACCUAUAAGACUGAGAUAACUUCGGGAAACCGGAGCUAAUACCGGAUAAUAUAUUGAACCGCAUGGUCAAUAGUGAAAGACGGUUUUGCUGUCACUUAUAGAUGGAUCCGCGCCGCAUUAGCUAGUUGGUAAGGUAACGGCUUACCAAGGCAACGAUGCGUAGCCGACCUGAGAGGGUGAUCGGCCACACUGGAACUGAGACACGGUCCAGACUCCUACGGGAGGCAGCAGUAGGGAAUCUUCCGCAAUGGGCGAAAGCCUGACGGAGCAACGCCGCGUGAGUGAUGAAGGUCUUCGGAUCGUAAAACUCUGUUAUUAGGGAAGAACAAAUGUGUAAGUAACUAUGCACGUCUUGACGGUACCUAAUCAGAAAGCCACGGCUAACUACGUG